GACGAACGCUGGCGGCGUGCUUAACACAUGCAAGUCGAACGGAAAGGCCCUGCUUUUGUGGGGGGCUCGAGUGGCGAACGGGUGAGUAACACGUGAGUAACCUGCCCUUGACUUUGGGAUAACUUCAGGAAACUGGGGCUAAUACCGGAUAGGAGCUCCUGCUGCAUGGUGGGGGUUGGAAAGUGUCGGCGGUUGGGGAUGGACUCGCGGCUUAUCAGCUUGUUGGUGGGGUAGUGGCUUACCAAGGCUUUGACGGGUAGCCGGCCUGAGAGGGUGACCGGCCACAUUGGGACUGAGAUACGGCCCAGACUCCUACGGGAGGCAGCAGUGGGGAAUAUUGCACAAUGGGCGGAAGGCUGAUGCAGCAACGCCGCGUGCGGGAUGACGGCCUUCGGGUUGUAAACCGCUUUCGCCUGUGACGAAGCGUGAGUGACGGUAAUUGGUAAAGAAGCACCGGCUAACUACGUG
rnacentral:rRNA from 1 species